UACGUAGGGUGCAAGCGUUGUCCGGAAUUAUUGGGCGUAAAGAGCUUGUAGGCGGUUUGUCGCGUCUGCUGUGAAAUUUCGGGGCUCAACCCCGAACUUGCAGUGGGUACGGGCAGACUAGAGUGUGGUAGGGGAGAGUGGAAUUCCUGGUGUAGCGGUGAAAUGCGCAGAUAUCAGGAAGAACACCCGUGGCGAAGGCGGCUCUCUGGAACGCAACUGACGCUGAGACGCGAAAGCGUGGGGAGCAAACAGG
rnacentral:rRNA from 1 species